UACGAAGGGUGCAAACGUUGCUCGGAAUCAUUGGGCGUAAAGCGCACGUAGGCGGCCCGAUAAGUCGGAUGUGAAAUCCCUCGGCUCAACCGAGGACGUGCAUUCGAAACUGUCGGGCUCGAGUAUGGAAGAGGGUCGCGGAAUUCCCGGUGUAGAGGUGAAAUUCGUAGAUAUCGGGAGGAACACCAGUGGCGAAGGCGGCGACCUGGGCCAAUACUGACGCUCAUGCACGAAAGCGUGGGGAGCAAACAGG
rnacentral:rRNA from 1 species